rnacentral:snoRNA from 1 species
AUUCCAUGAUGAGGGCAGUUCCAUAAUAAUUCUUUGUAUCUUUCCCAUGCCUCAUACACUGACUCAUGAUCCAUUUGGUAGAAGACAGUAUUCUCAUUCCUCAACUU